UAGUCCAUCAACAUGGACUUAUGAUGAUUUUGAAUCAUUGAGUGUUGAAGUGUUAAAACCACUUAAUGAGAUGGAAACUAGGCAAGGACUUCACCUUUGUUUCCUUAUCCUAAUGGUUCACUAAGUUUAUUGUAAACUAUGUAGUGAACAAUAACCACAUGCUCUCCAAAAUGUUUGAUGUGUAUAACACAAUUGAAAUAAGUUUCAAGAGAGAUAGUGGGAGUUUAGGGACCAUGACUAUUGUAGUCAAAGGUGAAAGUCAAAUGAAGAAGAUAAAAAUUAACUCCAAGGGAACAAACUUUCUUUAUAAAAGUAUGGACAUUGGAAGGGGUAUUUGCAAGAAAUGUCUUGCAAGUGUCAAGAACACACCUUUCGAAGGUGUUGUAAAUUGUUCUUGAAUAGUUCAAAACAGUUGGUUCUUCUACUUGAAUGCUUGAUUCCGUAUUAGUAACUAUGUUUUACAAUCGUUGUAAAAGUGUGACUAAUAAGAAGUAGAAGAUAUAUGAGAGAAGAAAAGGUGCUUCACAUUCGGAACGUGAAUAAAAUAUAGAUCUCUGCGAAAGCAGAUAGUACUUACUUCCUUAUAUGAACUACCAAAGAAAUUGGAAAAACCAAAGAUAGUCUUUACAUUCCAAUUUUAAGGAACUUAAUUCCGUCACUAUAGUAGAGAUGGAUGAAUGCUUUGUUUGACAAAACAUUGUUCUUUAUUAAUCAAUGAUUAGAUUAUAGUAAUCUAAUUGAUUGUCUCUAUAGUAGAGAUGAUAUGGUAGUGUUAACUGUUUAGAAUACAAUGAUGCUUAAAACCCAAAAGGUUGCAAGGUAGUGACUAAUCCCAACUGAGUUGUGAUACCUCUAAAACAUAAAUUACGAGUUGGUCAUAGAUGGAUGCUUUGGAUCGUUAGAUCCGGAUCCAAUACCUUCUUGUUAAAAUUGUAAAGAGGCGAAAUGUUCGAAUCUUUAUUCUUUUGGAAAGAAUAAAGAAUCACAAAGUUGUUGAGGUUAAUUCACUUAGAUGUUAGUGGCACUUGUCCACAACAUAAUACUACUCAUGUUGGAUGACAUUCACCGAAGAUCACCCUCGGUUGGACUAUAGUUUAUUUUAAAUAAACACAAGUCCGAAUACUUUGCAAAAGGUUUCAAAGAAUUCAAGAAAUGUAAGUUGAUGAGUAAGACGUCUAAAGUAUUUACAUCCUUAGAUUUGAUCCAAGGAAUGGUAACACUUUAGAAUAGUUUUCUUGAAAGAUAUCAAGGAAAGAAGCAUCAUAAGAUAAUGAAUUUCUCCAUGAGGAGAAGAACGAACUCGAAUAAGAUUUAGUUCGUUGGAUGUUAUCUAUUACCCAUAUAUAGGAUAUAUACUUCUAAAAACAAUAUGAUUGUCAAUUAGAAGAUCUUUCAAAUUUUUCAUGACUCCAUAAGAUGUAGUUGGAAAGAAAGACAAAUCUCAAGCAUGUUAAGAUUUGGGGUUGUGAGCUAAUAAGCAAUAUUUGUUUGAUAACAAUCUUGUGGGAUAUCCUUAAAUUAAUUUUUGGAUAUCGCUUCUAUAAACCAACUAACAAAUGUUGUUUUGUUGGGUAGUUCAUUGUAAUCCUACAAUGUGAUUUGCCUAAAAGCAAAUGAACUAGAGAUAGAACUCAAAGAAUGGGUUCUUUGAGAGACAAGAAAG
rnacentral:lncRNA from 1 species